rfam:Reinekea sp. MED297 scf_1099646007051 genomic scaffold, whole genome shotgun sequence.
GUCCCGUUCGUCUAGUGGCCUAGGACACCGCCCUUUCACGGCGGUAACAGGGGUUCGAGUCCCCUACGGGAUG